rnacentral:lncRNA from 1 species
CUUGAAUAAGGACAGGAGUGGGGAGGGCAUCGGGUUCGUUUAAGUGGUACACACGACCCUAGGCUACAGGUCUUGCUAUGUCCUUCAGCCACUGAGGGUAAUCCUUCAUAAAGUGUUGGGUGCUUCCGCACUGAUAGUAGGCGUGAUUGAUACGCUGAUAAGGUAAUUUAUCAUGCUCGUGACCACAAUGCUGACAUGAUUAGGAAGGUUGGGUAGGCUAUCCAGUAGGUGGAGGUAAAGUAAGGAGAAGGACAACUUGGGUUCAUUUAUCGAGGUGACUACUUACUAGGUCGGGCAAUCUUUUGUUGUGUUGUUGGAGUUGUUGUUGUUGGGUACAGACUUAGGCAAUGCGUUGGUGCUUAGCCAAGAUGAGGUCUUUGGCCAAUUGGCCAUGUUUUAGCACCUUGGCAUACGAGCUGGGUCUCAGCAUUGCAACCCGAUCAUAGAUAUCAGUAUGAAGGCCUUUC